GCGCGGCGUCCUGACGGGUAGGGCGGGCCCGGAGCUGCCUGCCGAGCCGGGUGGACAGGUGGGCGUGGGCAACGCGGCCGGCGGAACUGGCCGGCCAUCCCGCCGCGGCCCUGACCCCUGGGGUGCACUGGCUGCUUGGGGUCAAAUCCAAGCUGACCUUUCUCCGGAGGAAAGAUAAAUUAUUAUGGUUGUGGGUGAGCGUCAGUGCAAAUGUUUUCAGAGUCCUCCUCCUCCUCCUCCGGCUCCGGGUGCUGUUUGAAUCCCCCGCAUUCCUCAGCCCUGGGCAGGGAGCGGCGGCGGCCUUUGUGUCUCCCGGGAGCGCAUGCCACCUCGGGAGGAGAGAGCGGACCGGAGUUACAGAGCAGGGAGAGACAUUAGCCACCCUUUCCAGUGUGGAGAUAUGUUUUCUCUCUACCAGUUGGAUUGCAUCUUUCGUGGGAGAGAAGAGCAUCUGUCCUCCAGGCUUUGUCUGCUCUGCGGCUGCACCAGCACAGCAAAGCCACAUAAGGAGGCUUUUCAGCAGAGGAGCCCGGGGUUGAACUCGUGCCAUGGGGAAUGAAUUCUUCAAUAGACCCCUCGUCCUCUUCUGGAAGUUAAAGAGAGGCGAUUUGCAGAAAAGCAUAUGUGUGUGAAUGCAUCCUCCUGUCGUGGUAUUCUGUUCCUUUGUGCCUUUAAGUUCCCGUGCUUCUGUGUGGACUCGUUUUUCAUUGUGAUGAGAUAGAUCCCUAGUGGCCGUGCAGCUCAGGACCCUCGCUAGCCGGCACACAACGUAGUUCCCACUGAUCACAGCAGUGUGAACUGAUUUUGACAGUGGAGAGCUUUAUUCCUGCUGAACAGUGACUGGCUCUUCCAGAAUUAGUUUGGGAAGCUACCAGCGAGGUAACUAAUGCCCCUGGCACUGUAUUGCUAAAGGGGAAACUCAGUGUUGCUAGAAAUCAGGUAUGGACUGUGUAGUGUUGUUUUUUAUGGGGGAAAAUGUGUGUGUAGACAAGCCGCCUACAAGGCAGGGUUUACACACGGCUCUAAGUCACUCAGUUACCAUUGGUUUCCAGUUUACUUAACAGCUCCAUCUGUAUCAUCUUGAGCAGUGAAUCAGUUCCCAAACUAAGUCAUAGUAAGCCAUUAGUUUAUUGAUAAGGACUUAAAAGCAAUUUGAAAUAUACACAAUACCUGUGAUCCUCACAGUCACAAAUGCUCUAAGAAUUAGUUCGAACCAUUCCUCCACCAACUGUCAUUGUUUGAGACACAAAGGUAAGUGCGGGGUGGUCGCCCAGGCCAGUGUUCCAAGAAUGUGGAGGUGGGAGCAGGAAGAUCUGGAAUUCAAGGUCAUCCUUGGUAGUAAAAUACAAGUUCAAGAAAAAGAAAAAGGCACCAAAAUAACGUUCUGAGUCAUGUGUUGUGAUACCCCAUAGAAGAAUAAAAAGACACAGCCAGUCGGGAGAGUAGUAAUCCAUAACCUGAACAUGAGGGACAGGGCUCAGGCUGAAAGAGUGCAAGCUCUAGACCGUAGGCAACUUAGGAAAACCAUGUCUCAAAAUCGGGGCUGACUAAGGCUGUGGUUCGGUAGGACAGAGUUUCCUAACAUACAUGAGGCCCUGAGCUCUGUCACCAGUAUCAUAAAAAGAAUUAUGUUUAAAGAUGUCCAAAUGAUGUGUAGAAAUAAAAUCCUGAUCCUUUUUGGUUCAUA